GACGAACGCUGGCGGCGUGCUUAACACAUGCAAGUCGAACGGAAAGGCCUGCUUUCCCUUGUGGAUUGCGGGUGCUCGAGUGGCGAACGGGUGAGUAACACGUGAGUGAUCUGCCCCCAACUUGGGUAUAAGCCUGGGAAACUGGGUCUAAUUCCCGAUAGGACUGCAGGGUGGUGCCUGUGGUGGAAAACGAUUUUCUAGUGGUUGGGGAUGAGCUCGCGGCCUAUCAGCUUGUUGGUGGGGUAAUGGCCUACCAAGGCGGCGACGGGUAGCCGGCCUGGGAGGGUGGACGGCCACAUUGGGACUGGGAUACGGCCCAGACUCCUACGGGAGGCAGCAGUGGGGAAUAUUGCACAAUGGGCGGAAGCCUGAUGCAGCGACGCCGCGUGGGGGAUGACGGCCUUCGGGUUGUAAACUCCUUUCGACCGCGAGGAAGCCACCUGGUUGGAAGGGUGGUGACGGUAGUGGUAGAAGAAGCACCGGCUAACUACGUG
rnacentral:rRNA from 1 species